ensembl:lncRNA
UGUCCUCUCGGCGUUAGGUCUGCAGGCAUCAGACACAAGGCCAGCUGGCUUAUGUGGAAAUCACAGCCCUGACUAAGGCCCGGAUCACAGGCUCUUCAAAAGAAGAGGUUACUGUGGCGCUGAAAUCAGAAUAGCUGGUCCCUCCAGCUUUUUCUCGGGGACCAAGAGGCUUCAAUGAGCAGCCAGUAGCAAUGGGCAGACAGCACACUGCAGCUAAAUGAGGAUGCUCUGUCUCAGCUGUCACAUCAAUGGGGAAGACAACAGGCUCCAAGUUGCCAAGUCCUAAGCUUUCAGCUGGUAAAGAAUCUGCCCACCAACUGUAGGAGACACAAGACGAGGGCUCAAUCCCUGGGUCGGGAAGAUCCCCUGGAGAAAGAAACGGCAACCUGUUCCAGUAUUCAUGUAUCAUCCCAUGGACAGAGGAACCUGGUGGGCUACAGUCCAUGGGACUGCAAAGAGUCAGACAUGACUGAGUGACUGAGAAUGUCCCCGUGUGCAUUUCAUUGUUGUCUCCAGUGGUGAGAACUAUACUAAGAAAUGUCUGUGAUGGUUUCCACUUUAAAAGAGUUCAAUGCCUUCUCAUGACUCCCCUUUCAUUUUGAAACAAGGUGGUUUGUUUGUGUGGCUAAAUCACCUGAAUAAAGAACCCUGAUGAGUCUCCUUGGAAAACAGCUCUGUAUGCCAAACAACAGCUUAAUAUUCCUCCAGCAGAAGGUCUCUCUCUCUCCUAGGGAAACCAUCUCAAAAACAGUCUCCUCUGGAGAGCUGGUCUGUUUAUUUCUGAAGCAGAUUAUGGGCCAGCAGUGCCCUCUCCUGGCAUCUUGAAGUUAUAGCUUGACAUGCCUUUUUUUAAACAUGGAAGAGAUUUUUUCCUACAGAAAGAAGCCAUUGUUAAUACUACACAGCUCUACUUGAAGAUCUUAAUUAAUUAAUUGGGGUCAAGAGUUGUGGCUGUAGUGAUCAAAGAAAAGGCUAUUUUCAACACCAGGAUAAAGGAGACAGAUGAAGCAUUAAACAAAACAAACAAAAAGCCUAAACUUGGGC